rnacentral:rRNA from 1 species
GCGGUAAGGCCCUUCGGGGUACACGAGCGGCGAACGGGUGAGUAACACGUGGGUGAUCUGCCUCGCACUUCGGGAUAAGCCUGGGAAACUGGGUCUAAUACCGGAUAUGACCUUUCAGUGCAUGCUGUUGGGUGGAAAGAUUUAUCGGUGCGAGAUGGGCCCGCGGCCUAUCAGCUUGUUGGCGGGGUAACGGCCCACCAAGGCGACGACGGGUAGCCGACCUGAGAGGGUGACCGGCCACACUGGGACUGAGACACGGCCCAGACUCCUACGGGAGGCAGCAGUGGGGAAUAUUGCACAAUGGGCGGAAGCCUGAUGCAGCGACGCCGCGUGAGGGAUGACGGCCUUCGGGUUGUAAACCUCUUUCGACAGGGACGAAGCGCAAGUGACGGUACCUGUAGAAGAAGCACCGGCCAACUACGUGCCAGCAGCCGCGGUAAUACGUAGGGUGCGAGCGUUGUCCGGAAUUACUGGGCGUAAAGAGCUUGUAGGCGGUUUGUCGCGUCGUCCGUGAAAACUUGGGGCUCAACCCCAAGCUUGCGGGCGAUACGGGCAGACUUGAGUACUUCAGGGGAGACUGGAAUUCCUGGUGUAGCGGUGAAAUGCGCAGAUAUCACGAGGAACACCGGUGGCGAACGCGGGUCUCUGGGAAGUAACUGACGCUGAGAAGCGAAAGCGUGGUAGCGAACAGGAUAGAUACCUGUAGUCACGCGUAACGGU